GGGCGGAAGACUGGGGAUAGCUAGUGAGGCCUCUGGGCUGCGACCUACCUCGCAGAGGGGUUUGCACUAAGGCGCUGGGCGCCGGGCUCCGGGCGCUGUGGACCAUGGCUCCGCCCCAGGCGCCCAACAGGGACCGUGCAGGCCAGGAGGAUGAGGACCGUUGGGAAGCACGGGGGGACCGCAAGGUGCGGACAGGGGCUGCGGGUGGAUGGGCCUGCGGGAGGCUGCACGGGCCAGGGGCUCAGUAGCCGUUUCCCACAGGCCCGGAAGCCCCUGGUGGAGAAGAAGCGACGCGCGCGGAUCAACGAGAGUCUUCAGGAGUUGCGGCUGCUGCUAGCGGGCACCGAGGUGCGGCGGAAAGAGUGCGGGGGGGUCUUCAGGGUGCGCCCCGGACACAGCCGAACUCAACUCCUUUACCCUCUGCGCAGGUGCAGGCCAAGCUAGAGAACGCCGAGGUGCUGGAGCUGACCGUGCGACGCGUGCAGGGCGCUCUGCGAGGCCGGGCUCGCGGUGAGUGGCGGCGGGGAUCGAGGGCGGGGGCGCUGACCGGGCAUGCCUGCCAUCCAAGAGCCGGACACGUCGGCUCCCGGAGCCUCGGUCCUGUACAUGGUGAGGGCUCCCCCCAGAGCAGGACACGUUAAUGCGUCUCCUGGGUGAGCCCCGAACCCGCGGAGCGGAUCGUCAGAACCACAGUAGUCACUGCUCACUGUGCGGGAUGCCGCUCUCUUCUUCCCACCCUCCUGCACAGAGCGGGAGCAGCUGCAGGCUGAAGCAAGCGAGCGCUUCGCUGC
rnacentral:lncRNA from 1 species